CGCGUAGGCGGUCUGCUAAGUUGGAUGUGAAAACUCUGGGCUUAACCCAGAGCCUGCAUUCAAAACUGACAGGCUAGAGUUCUGGAGGGGAUAGCGGAAUUCCUGGUGUAGCGGUGAAAUGCGUAGAUAUCAGGAGGAACACCGGUGGCGAAGGCGGCUAUCUGGACAGAGUCUGACGCUGAGGCGCGAAAGCUAGGGGAGCAAACA
rnacentral:rRNA from 1 species